GUCCCCUACUCCUUCAAACAUUACCUCCAUAGCCACCGGAGACUCGUUCCUAUUCUACAACUUUUACCAUGGUUAUUUAAACCGAAUUAAGCGCCCUUCACCAAAUCAAAGCCAAGCCAAGCCGAGCCGAGCCGAGUCGAGUCGAGUCACCACUGUCUCACUCAAACUCAAAACCCUUUCAAUCACUUAUCUUAAGCCGCGCCACAAAAAAAAAACAUCACGCGUCUAUCUCUCUCUCUUAUAUCUCUCUCUCUCUGUCUUCGAGAAACCUCAGUGUCUGAAAAUUUCCUGUCGUUGA